rnacentral:rRNA from 1 species
AAGUCGAGCGGAUGAAGGGAGCUUGCUCUCUGAUUCACCGGCGGACGGGUGAGUAAUGCCUAGGAAUCUGCCUGGUAGUGGGGGACAACGUCUCGAAAGGGACGCUAAUACCGCAUACGUCCUACGGGAGAAAGCAGGGGACCUUCGGGCCUUGCGCUAUCAGAUGAGCCUAGGUCGGAUUAGCUAGUUGGUGAGGUAAUGGCUCACCAAGGCAACGAUCCGUAACUGGUCUGAGAGGAUGAUCAGUCACACUGGAACUGAGACACGGUCCAGACUCCUACGGGAGGCAGCAGUGGGGAAUAUUGGACAAUGGGCGAAAGCCUGAUCCAGCCAUGGCCGUGUUUUUUAAGAAGGUCUUCGGAUUGUAAAGCACUUUAAGUUGGGAGGAAGGGUUGUAGAUUAAUACUCUGCAAUUUUGACGUUACCGACAGAAUAAGCACCGGCUAACUCUGUGCCAGCAGCCGCGGUAA